AACGAACGCUGGCGGCAUGCCUAACACAUGCAAGUCGAACGAGACCUUCGGGUCUAGUGGCGCACGGGUGCGUAACGCGUGGGAACCUGCCCUUAGGUUCGGAAUAACUCCCCGAAAGGGGUGCUAAUACCGGAUAAUGUCUUCGGACCAACGAUUUAUCGCCUUUGGAUGGGCCCGCGUUGGAUUAGCUAGUUGGUAGGGUAAUAGCCUACCAAGGCGACGAUCCAUAGCUGGUCUGAGAGGAUGAUCAGCCACACUGGGACUGAGACACGGCCCAGACUCCUACGGGAGGCAGCAGUGGGGAAUAUUGGACAAUGGGCGAAAGCCUGAUCCAGCAAUGCCGCGUGAGUGAUGAAGGCCUUAGGGUUGUAAAGCUCUUUUACCCGGGAUGAUAAUGACAGUACCGGGAGAAUAAGCUCCGGCUAACUACGUG
rnacentral:rRNA from 1 species